rnacentral:rRNA from 1 species
UACGGAGGGUGCAAGCGUUGUUCGGAAUCAUUGGGCGUAAAGCGCGUGUAGGCGGCUUGGCAAGUCGGUUGUGAAAUCCCGGGGCCCAACCCCGGAACUGCACUCGAAACUGCCUCGCUAGAGUCCCGGAGAGGAAGGCGGAAUUCCCGGUGUAGCGGUGAAAUUCGUAGAUAUCGGGAGGAACACCAGCGGCGAAGGCGGCCUUCUGGACGGUGACUGACGCUGAGACGCGAAAGCGUGGGGAGCAAACAGG